AUUGAACGCUGGCGGCAGGCCUAACACAUGCAAGUCGAACGAGGGGCGGACGGGUGAGUAAUGUCUGGGAAACUGCCUGAUGGAGGGGGAAAAAUACUGGAAACGGUCGCUAAUACCGCAUACCAUCAGGUGUCCCGAGAGGGGAUUGGCUUGUGGGUGGGGUAACGGCUCACCAAGGCGACGAUCCCUAGCUGGUCUGAGAGGAUGACCAGCCACACUGGAACUGAGACACGGUCCAGACUCCUACGGGAGGCAGCAGUGGGGAAUAUUGCACAAUGGGCGCAAGCCUGAUGCAGCCAUGCCGCGUGUAUGAAGAAGGCCUUCGGGUUGUAAAGUACUUUCAGCGGGGAGGCGUUACCCGCAGAAGAAGCACCGGCUAACUCCGUGCCAGCAGCCGCGGUAAUAC
rnacentral:rRNA from 1 species